ACUGGGAUAGCUCAGUUGGUAGAGCAUAAGACUUCUAAUCUCAGGGUCAUAAGUUUGAGCCCCAUGUUGGGUA
rnacentral:tRNA from 1 species